rnacentral:rRNA from 1 species
AAUGGCUCAUUAUAUAAGUUAUCGUUUAUUUGAUAGUACCUUACUACUUGGAUAACCGUGGUAAUUCUAGAGCUAAUACAUGCUAAAAAUCCCGACUUCGGAAGGGAUGUAUUUAUUAGAUUAAAAACCAAUGCCCUCUGGGCUCUCUGGUGAUUCAUGAUAACUUCUCGAAUCGCAUGGCCUUGCGCCGGCGAUGGUUCAUUCAAAUUUCUUCCCUAUCAACUUUCGAUGUUUGGGUAGUGGCCAAACAUGGUUGCAACGGGUAACGGAGGGUUAGGGCUCGACCCCGGAGAAGGAGCCUGAGAAACGGCUACUACAUCCAAGGAAGGCAGCAGGCGCGCAAAUUACCCAAUCCCGAUUCGGGGAGGUAGUGACAAUAAAUACUGAUACAGGGCUCUUUUGGGUCUUGUAAUUGGAAUGAGUACAAUUUAAAUCCCUUAACGAGGAACAAUUGGAGGGCAAGUCUGGUGCCAGCAGCCGCGGUAAUUCCAGCUCCAAUAGCGUAUAUUAAAGUUGUUGUGGUUAAAAAGCUCGUAGUUGAACCUUGGGCCUGGCUGGCCGGUCCGCCUCACCGCGUGUACUGGUCCGGCCGGGCCUUUCCCUCUGUGGAACCCCAUGCCCUUCACUGGGUGUGGCGGGGAAACAGGACUUUUACUUUGAAAAAAUUAGAGUGCUCCAGGCAGGCCUAUGCUCGAAUACAUUAGCAUGGAAUAAUAAAAUAGGACGUGUGGUUCUAUUUUGUUGGUUUCUAGGACCGCCGUAAUGAUUAAUAGGGACAGUCGGGGGCAUCAGUAUUCAAUUGUCAGAGGUGAAAUUCUUGGAUUUAUUGAAGACUAACUACUGCGAAAGCAUUUGCCAAGGAUGUUUUCAUUAAUCAGGAACGAAAGUUAGGGGAUCGAAGACGAUCAGAUACCGUCGUAGUCUUAACCAUAAACUAUGCCGACUAGGGAUCGGACGAUGUUAUUUUUUGACUCGUUCGGCCCCUUACGAGAAAUCAAA